rfam:Cyanophage P-RSM1 genomic sequence.
UGUUGAUCUGACGAGGUUGACAUGGGUGUGACAGAACAAUCCUGUUGGAAAUAGGCGGGAUAAUGUAUAGACUCAGAGGUGGUGCUCGCAAUCCCUAAAGGAUUGAACUCUGACCAAGAGGUGUCUAGUUAAUCGGUAUUAAAUUUCGCUUUAGCGAUUCCCCGAUUAUGUUGGUAUGAAGUAAUCCAAUCACCCACCCU